UGCUGUUUGUUCCUCUAUAUGUGGUGAUGAGGACAUCAGGACUGAAAGAAAACGAAGCGAUUUGUGCAAACGGCCUGAUUCCCGUGGACUUCCAACACAGACUUCUCAGGUUCUAACCCCAGUGCCGUCUGCACUUUAUCUAGAAACCGGCCACAGAUCGGAAGAGCGUCUUG